GCAGCGACAACUAUUCAACAAUAGUUGUGCCAAUACUGUCUGUAUAUGGCACAUAGUUCGACCAUAUUUCAACAAGUUCCAUAUUGCAGCUACACCCGGACAAACGAUAAAUGGACAAUGGAGUUUAAAAGAAUCAUUGUCGUCCACAACGUCUUGCCCAAACUGACCAUGAGCUUUCACGAUGCGCUGUCCAGCUAACCAACUCCAAUUAAGGACAACGCCUGACGUCACAUUUUUGCAAGCACGCCGUACUCCUAGACGUCUGCAAUGACUUGUCUGAUGCGUGAACAUUACUUCCCAGCCAUAUAAGAGAAUUAAUCUAAAAGGUGAACGAACUGCGGGAAGCUGCGGAGGAGGUUGCUGUCCUUUCGGACUACUGAAUCGUUUUGGCAGAUAAACAUCCGUGAUAAAGUGUAUCACCUUCGUGCGAGAGAUCGUCGGCGCUUACGCCACAAAGAUCACCCAACAUGUAUACAUAUAUACAUUCAUCCGGAGCGCUGCUAAUAGGCGAAAUCGUGGCUAUUUGUUCAAAUUUAAGCGCUCAUCGUACCCGUCGCACAUCAAUAGCGGCACCCCGAGUUCGCUUGAAAGUAUAUCCUAAUCGAAGGAUAACAUGAAACCGCAUAAAGCAAGAAAUAACACUAUGCAUUAUACUUGAGUGACUUGCCUACGUUAUCUGUUAAAUCACAGAUAUUUUAAGUAUUUUGAGUAAAAAGAUUUACAAUAAAACGGGCCGUUUAGACCUCAAAGACAUGCUUUACUUCGAUAUGUUAUUGAGCUAUUGUCGGCAAAAAUACGAGUAUAUCUUGCGGUUGAAAUUAUUUGUAAUUAAAGCUGAGUGUUCUGUAGCGGGCCACUUCGCGGGAUUGUAGCGCGGUUCGGUUAUACUUGAUAUCGUUUUAAUACGUCUAUGAACGUUUAAGAAGAGAAUUAAACUUAGAGUGAAAGCUCAAUUUUUUACUCUGUUGAACGUCGCGUUGUUACAACUGAAAUUGGGUCAAAUGGCGAACUCUGCGUCUCUGACCGAUUGGGUAGUCCCAAAACGAUGCCUAGAAUGGAACUCGUUUUUGAUUAAUAGUAGAUCAUCGCUGCCACACAUGAGA